rnacentral:ncRNA from 1 species
UAUGGUUCAAGAUUAGUUGAUUAAAAGAGAAAUGGGUGAAAUUCCCAUGCGGUCCCGCCACUGUAAAGAUGAUGAAACUAGAAUAUACCACUGAUAAUGUUGUGUUAUUGGGAAGGUCUAGAAGUAAAAAGAAUCUAAGCCAGGAGAACUACCAUAUGUGUUUU